rnacentral:rRNA from 1 species
GUCUACGGCCAUACCACCCUGAAUGCGCCCGAUCUCGUCUGAUCUCGGAAGCUAAGCAGGGUCAGGCCUGGUUAGUACUUAGAUGAGAAAGCCUAGCUCUAAACACC